UACAGAGGUCUCGAGCGUUAGGCGGAAUCACUGGGCUUAAAGCGUGUGUAGGCGGACUGGUAAGUACCUUGUGAAAUCCCACGGCUCAACCGUGGAACUGCUGGGUAUACUGCUUGUCUUGUGCAACCUAGGGGCGAGCGGAACAGAUGGUGGAGCGGUGAAAUGCGCAGAUAUCAGGAGGAACACCGGUGGCGAAGGCGGGUCUCUGGGCCGAUACUGACGCUGAGGAGCGAAAGCGUGGGGAGCGAACAGG
rnacentral:rRNA from 1 species